rnacentral:rRNA from 1 species
CCUACGGGGCGCAGCAGUGGGGAAUAUUGCACAAUGGGGGAAACCCUGAUGCAGCGACGCCGCGUGAGUGAAGAAGUAUUUCGGUAUGUAAAGCUCUAUCAGCAGGGAAGAAAAUGACGGUACCUGACUAAGAAGCCCCGGCUAACUACGUGCCAGCAGCCGCGGUAAUACGUAGGGGGCAAGCGUUAUCCGGAUUUACUGGGUGUAAAGGGAGCGUAGACGGUGAUGCACGUCAGAGGUGAAAGCCCGCGGCUCAACUGCGGGACUGCUUUUGAAACUGUAUAACUAGAGUGCAGGAGAGGUAA